UCAUACGUUCAUAUCCUGCUGAAUGCACCGAUCCCGUCAGAUUACCAAAGUGAAUCGACUACAAGCUAUCUUAGUACUUGGAUGGGAGACUUCCUGGGAACCGUUAGUGGCGUAAGUC
rfam:Strongyloides venezuelensis genome assembly, scaffold: SVE_scaffold0000021